GUUCACGUCAGCAGAGUGAGAGAUGCCGACAACACCGCUGACAGUCAGUUUGUAAUCUAAUUAGCUCAUUUUAUUGGAGCUACCGUAUGUGGUUUCACUUGCUGCUACAAAACGUUUCAGCUGCUUUACAAAGGAGGAAUAUGGAACAUCCGACCUUUAGGAGGGGCCCUUACGUCCUGCUCAGAGGGCUCUGAGGGCCUGUCCAAGAUGGCGGCCAGGCACCUGCUGUCUCAUUGAGGCAUAGCGGUCCCAGCUGGAGGGGAAGCAGGAUGUUCGCCCUGAUUGACGCCAAGGUGAUCCAGAGGAUCUCCUGGGAGGAGUGGAGGCUCCACUGUCGGGGGAGGACACGUGAGGCAGAGGAGACGCUCCUCCUCAUCCAGGAUCUCCACGUCACCCUGGACGUCCCUUCGCUGCAUAUGGAGACUCAGAGGCGCCACCUCAGCUGCAUUCAGGACCCAGCAGGUGUGCAGCUGUACACAGAGACUGGUAGACUGACAAAAGGUGGUUUCCACCUUAACCAGUUCGUCCCAGGUACAUGCGUGUGUCUCAGGUUGUGAAUAAGUAUAUUGUGUACUGGCCCGAACCCAGGCGCUGCAGCUAGGACCGAGCCCCGGUGGUAAGCGCUCCACCAGGUGAGCCACUGAGGCGCCACUGUUGAUUUAUAUUUUUAAUUCAUAUAUAUGUAUUAGUUGAACCUGGAUGAAACUGAUGCAGUACAAUGGAACAGGCCUGCAGUAAAUCCUCCUUCAUGAGGAUCAUGUUCAGUAUUUACUGAAUCUGUUUGAGAAGUGUUGGUUUAUUUUAAUGUUCAUUGUGGAGGCUGUGAUUGUAACUGUAGUAAUGUUUAAGUGCACUGGGAUGUACUGAGAAGUGUUCCUAAUAUUUUGUCAAAUCUUAUUCCCAUAAAUGGGAUACACAGUGUCUGAGACCACUCUCCCCUGUAGCCUCACAUGUUGCUCCACAGCAGCUCUAGUGUCGCUCAGUUUCAUUUACAAAGGAGAAUAAAAGGAGCCAUUAAAAACACUGAAUCGAGUCGUUUCUCCUGGUGAAAUGAGAAACAACAUUUCAGAUAAAAUAGAAACUAAAACGAGGCUGAAAUGAGAAUCUCACUUUUGUCUCCUGAACUACAGAAGAUCAGACUUUGAGCAGUAAAGUUUUCCUCAUAGACAUUCAA